rnacentral:rRNA from 1 species
GACGAACGCUGGCGGCGUGCCUAAUACAUGCAAGUCGAGCGCAGGAAACUGACGGAACUCUUCGGAGGGAAGGCAGUGGAAUGAGCGGCGGACGGGUGAGUAACACGUAAGGAACCUGCCUCAAGGAUUGGGAUAACUCCGAGAAAUCGGAGCUAAUACCGGAUAGUUCAACGGACCGCAUGGUCCGCUGAUGAAAGGCGCUCCGGCGUCACCUUGAGAUGGCCUUGCGGUGCAUUAGCUAGUUGGUGGGGUAACGGCUCACCAAGGCGACGAUGCAUAGCCGACCUGAGAGGGUGAUCGGCCACACUGGGACUGAGACACGGGCCAGACUCCUACGGGAGGCAGCAGUAGGGAAUCUUCCACAAUGGACGAAAGUCUGAUGGAGCAACGCCGCGUGAGUGAUGAAGGUUUUCGGAUCGUAAAACUCUGUUGUAAGGGAAGAACACGUACGAGAGGAAAUGCUCGUACCUUGACGGUACCUUACGAGAAAGCCACGGCUAACUACGUGCCAGCAGCCGCAGUAAAAC